rnacentral:lncRNA from 1 species
CAUCUCUACUAAAAAUACAAAAAUUAGCCAGGCGCAGUGGAGGGCACCUGUAAUCCCAUCAAAUCUGCUAUGAGAGCACAGCACAGUACAGGAUUGGCACUUGUAAAGACAGAAGACAUCAAUUCUCAAAGUAUUCCUAGCCUGUAGAGGAAAAUGAGAUAUAUUCAAUAAAAAGCGAAUGCAAAAGUGAUUCCAAAUCAAGGCUUUUCUCUAGACAGCCCUCAUUGUACUUGCAACCUCAAUUGCAUCAGAAGGACCUUGAACAUGGAGAAUCAAACUAACCAGCCAGCCCCUGGGGGAACAGGAACUUUGGGCUACAAGCUGUCAAGGAUUGGAUAGAAAAUAAGUCAUGGAAGCUUUCCUGGAAGUACUGGUCCUGGAUCAGGAUCUUGAAAGAUUGGGAAGCGUAGGGAAUGAGGGCAGCAGAUGUUCAAAACGAAGAAAACUGUCAGCAUCUUCAAUGCAGCAGUUCCAAGUUUUGUGUCCAGACAUGGCUACAACCUAAGGAGAAAGGGCAGUGCUAGAAACUUGGGUCUUCUCCACAUACCUCCCUCCUUUCAUCAUGGAGAAAAAUAUUUCCAAGAUGUCCCCCCAAACAUUGCCUUAAAUCUAACAGGCCAUGCUUGCUCAUAUGGCCAAUGUUAGCUGCAAAGGGAGCUGGGAAAAUAAAAUUUGGCUUUUCUGGGUCAUAAUGAAGGCAAUGGGGUAAGGGAUUAGGAAUGGCUAUGGGAUAGACAACCAGUAGUAUCUGCCCCAGUGCCUGGUUGUUGUGAGAGUGAAAUGAGUUCAUGCACUUAAGACACUCAGCACAGUACCUGGCAUGAAGUCAAUGCUCAAGAAACAUUUUAAUGAUAGGAUGAAAAUAAUUGUGUUCAUUUCUCUACCUCUCUAUCAGUCUAUCUAUUCAUCUAUCCAUCCAUGUAUUCAUUCAUCCACCCAUUCAACCACCUAUCCACCUACCCAUUCAUCCAUUUGUCUAUCCACUCAUCCAUCCAUUCAUUCAUCAAUCUAUCCGUCCAUCUCUACUUCUUUGUUGUUUUUGGCAGUGGACUGUCACCAGGGUCCUCCACUGAUUCCUUUUGUUGGGUGAAUUGUUUGAUAAGCUCUUUGAAAUAGAGGAUAAGAAUCCCCCCAAAAGACACCCAUGACCUCUAAGGAUGGUGGGCUGUUAACUGAGGGACUUCAUUUUGCUAAGUGGGCAAUGCAAGUUGAAGCCUAGAGCUGAGUUUCCCAGGAAAACAGAGAUUUUGGAGAUGGUAUGUG